rnacentral:lncRNA from 12 species
CCCCCCCCCCCCCCCCCCCCCCCCCCCCCCCCCCCCCCCCCCCCCCCGCGUGGGUGCGGCGCUGAGGGCAUGGAGGGUGUGGGUUAAAAGGGGGUUCCUGGCCCUGUAGGGGAGCUACGUGGGGCGGAAAGGGUCGCUUAGCACGCCCUGAAGUCCAAGGACACUGAUGUUGCAUAUUUUAGCUGGACUUUCCCUCCAAGUAAGAUGGUGAAGCUUCUUUCUCCUGGUAUCAGCUUUGUCUACUCUGCAGGUCAGAAGUCAUAAAAAACACACCUGUGAUAUGU